UAUUUUGGAAGAGAUGCAUUUAUUAGAUAAAAAACCAAUGCAUACUUUUUCAAGUAUGAAAUUUGGUGAUUUACAAUAACUUAGCAAAUCGCAUAGUGAAAACAGGCGAUAAAUCAUUCAAGUUUCUGACCUAUCAGCUUUCGACGGUAUGGUAUUGGCUUACCGUGGCAGUGACGGUUAACGGGGGAUUAGGGUUCGAUUCCGGAGAGGGAGCCUGAGAAACGGCUACCACAUCUAAGGAAGGCAGCAGGCGCGCAAAUUACCCAAUUCUAACAGCAUAAGAGAGGUAGUGACAAGAAAUAACAAUACAAGGCAGUUAAAAUGCUUUGUAAUUGGAAUGAUAGAAAUUUAAACACUUUUUAAAGUAUCAAUUGGAGGGCAAGUCUGGUGCCAGCAGCCGCGGUAAUUCCAGCUCCAAUAGCGUAUAUUAAAAUUGUUGCAGUUAAAAAGCUCGUAGUUGAAUUUCUGUUAAAAAUAACCGGUCUGCUUUUAAUAAAAGUGGUAUCUUGGUGUGUUUUUAGCAAUAAUGUCCUUUGAAAUGUUUUUUACUUUAUUGUAAUAGAUAAUAUUCAGGAUUUUUACUUUGAGAAAAUUAGAGUGUUUCUAGCAGGCUAACGCUUUGAAUACUGCAGCAUGGAAUAAUAAAAUAGGAUUUUAGUUCUACAUUAUUGGUUUUAAGAACUAAAUUAAUGAUUGAUAGGGACAGUUGGGGGCAUUUGUAUUUAACUGUCAGAGGUGAAAUUCUUAGAUUUGUUAAAGACAAACUACUGCGAAAGCAUUUGCCAAAGAUGUUUUCAUUAAUCAAGAAC
rnacentral:rRNA from 1 species